rnacentral:rRNA from 1 species
UCAGUGUGUGUGUUAGUGGAAGCGUCUGGAAAGGCGCGCGAUACAGGGUGACAGCCCCGUACACAAAAAUGCACAUGCUGUGAGCUCGAUGAGUAGGGCGGGACACGUGGUAUCCUGUCUGAAUAUGGGGGGACCAUCCUCCAAGGCUAAAUACUCCUGACUGACCGAUAGUGAACCAGUACCGUGAGGGAAAGGCGAAAAGAACCCCGGCGAGGGGAGUGAAAAAGAACCUGAAACCGUGUACGUACAAGCAGUGGGAGCCUCUUAAUGGGGUGACUGCGUACCUUUUGUAUAAUGGGUCAGCGACUUAUAUUCUGUAGCAAGGUUAACCGAAUAGGGGAGCCGAAGGGAAACCGAGUCUUAACUGGGCGUUAAGUUGCAGGGUAUAGACCCGAAACCCGGUGAUCUAGCCAUGGGCAGGUUGAAGGUUGGGUAACACUAACUGGAGGACCGAACCGACUAAUGUUGAAAAAUUAGCGGAUGACUUGUGGCUGGGGGUGAAAGGCCAAUCAAACCGGGAGAUAGCUGGUUCUCCCCGAAAGCUAUUUAGGUAGCGCCUCGUGAAUUCAUCUCCGGGGGUAGAGCACUGUUUCGGCAAGGGGGUCAUCCCGACUUACCAACCCGAUGCAAACUGCGAAUACCGGAGAAUGUUAUCACGGGAGACACACGGCGGGUGCUAACGUCCGUCGUGAAGAGGGAAACAACCCAGACCGCCAGCUAAGGUCCCAAAGUCAUGGUUAAGUGGGAAACGAUGUGGGAAGGCCCAGACAGCCAGGAUGUUGGCUUAGAAGCAGCCAUCAUUUAAAGAAAGCGUAAUAGCUCACUGGUCGAGUCGGCCUGCGCGGAAGAUGUAACGGGGCUAAACCAUGCACCGAAGCUGCGGCAGCGACACUAUGUGUUGUUGGGUAGGGGAGC